GGAGGGUGCAAACGUUGUCCGGAAUUACUGGGCGUAAAGGGCGCGUAGGCGGACUUGUAAGUCAGGAGUGAAAACUCAGGGGCUCAACCCCUGAGCCUGCUUCUGAAACUGCAAGUCUUGAGGACCCGGAGAGGAAAGUGGAAUUCCUAGUGUAGCGGUGGAAUGCGUAGAUAUUAGGAAGAACACCAGUGGCGAAGGCGACUUUCUGGACGGUACCUGACGCUGAGGCGCGAAAGCUAGGGGAGCAAACAGGAUUAGAUACCCUGGUAGUCCUAGCUGUAAACGAUGAGUGCUAGGUGGUGGUAGUUUCAACGCUUUCACUGCCGAAGCUAACGCAUUAAGCACUCCGCCUGGGGAGUACGGCCGCAAGGUUG
rnacentral:rRNA from 1 species